rnacentral:rRNA from 1 species
UACGAAUGGAGCGAGCGUUGUUCGGAAUCACUGGGCGUAAAGCGUGCGCAGGCGGUUUUGAAAGUUAGAAGUGAAAGCCCAGGGCUUAACCUUGGAAUUGCUUUUAAAACUUCAAGACUAGAGUACUGGAGGGGUUGGCGGAAUUUCGAGUGUAGCAGUGAAAUGCGUAGAUAUUCGAAGGAACACCGAUGGCGUAGGCAGCCAACUGGACAGUUACUGACGCUCAUGUACGAAAGCGUGGGGAUCAAACAGG